GCUUAGCCCUUAACAUAGGCAGUUUUAACACAAAACUGCCCGCCUGAGAACUACAAGUGAAAAACUAGAAACUCUAAGGACUUGGCGGUGCUCCACAUCGACCUAGAGGAGCCUGUCCUAUAAUCGAUAAUCCACGCUAAACCUUACCAUUUUUUGCAACUCAGCCUAUAUACCGCCGUCGUCAGCCUACCCUGUGAAUGAAACAAAGUAAGCAAAAUAGUCAACAACUAGAACGUCAGGUCAAGGUGUAGCACAUAAAAUGGAAGAGAUGGGCUACAUUUUCUACCACAGAAAAUACGAACAGCACACUGAAACACGUACUUGAAGGCGGAUUUAGCAGUAAAACAAACAAUAGACUUUGUCUUAAACCCGCUCUGGAGCGCGCACACACCGCCCGUCACCC
rnacentral:rRNA from 1 species